GUCCUAGCUUUGGUAGUACAUAUACUGAAAUUGGCAUGAUACAGAGAAAGAUUUCCCAUGGCCCCCUGCUCAAGGAUUGCACACAAAUUCAUGAAGUGUACCAUAUUUUU
rnacentral:snRNA from 1 species